AUCUGGGAGGCCUGAAG
rnacentral:misc_RNA from 1 species